UACGUAGGGGGCAAGCGUUGUCCGGAAUCAUUGGGCGUAAAGAGCGUGUAGGCGGCCCGAUAAGUCCGCUGUGAAAGUCCAGGGCUCAACCCUGGGAUGCCGGUGGAUACUGUCGGGCUCGAGUCCGGAAGAGGAGUGUGGAAUUCCUGGUGUAGCGGUGAAAUGCGCAGAUAUCAGGAGGAACACCAAUGGCGAAGGCAGCACUCUGGGACGUGACCGACGCUGAGACGCGAAAGCGUGGGGAGCAAACAGG
rnacentral:rRNA from 1 species